rnacentral:rRNA from 1 species
GAUGAACGCUGGCGGCGUGCCUAAUACAUGCAAGUCGAGCGAACAGACGAGGAGCUUGCUCCUCUGACGUUAGCGGCGGACGGGUGAGUAACACGUGGAUAACCUACCUAUAAGACUGGGAUAACUUCGGGAAACCGGAGCUAAUACCGGAUAAUAUAUUGAACCGCAUGGUUCAAUAGUGAAAGACGGUUUUGCUGUCACUUAUAGAUGGAUCCGCGCCGCAUUAGCUAGUUGGUAAGGUAACGGCUUACCAAGGCAACGAUGCGUAGCCGACCUGAGAGGGUGAUCGGCCACACUGGAACUGAGACACGGGCCAGACUCCUACGGGAGGCAGCAGUAGGGAAUCUUCCGCAAUGGGCGAAAGCCUGACGGAGCAACGCCGCGUGAGUGAUGAAGGUCUUCGGAUCGUAAAACUCUGUUAUUAGGGAAGAACAAAUGUGUAAGUAACGAUGCACGUCUUGACGGUACCUAAUCAGAAAGCCACGGCUAACUACGU